rnacentral:rRNA from 1 species
CCUACGGGUGGCAGCAGUGGGGAAUAUUGGGCAAUGGGCGCAAGCCUGACCCAGCAAUGCCGCGUGAAGGAAGAAGGCUUUCGGGUUGUAAACUUCUUUUCUCAGGGACGAAGACAGUGACGGUACCUGAGGCAUCAGCCACCGCUAACUACGUGCCAGCCGCCGCGGUAAUACGUAGGGGGCAAGCGUUAGCCGGAUUUACUGGGUGUAAAGGGCGUGUAGGCGGGACUGCAAGUCAGAUGUGAAAACCACGGGCUCAACCUGUGGCCUGCAUUUGAAACUGUAGGGCUUGAGUACUGAAGAGGCAGGCAGAAUUCCAGGUGUAGCGGUGAAAUGCGUAGAGAUAAGGAGGAAUACCGGUGGCGAAGGCGGUCUGCUGGACAGCAACUGACGCUGAGGCGCGAAAGCGUGGGGAGCAAACAGGAUUAGAUACCCGAGUAGUC